rnacentral:rRNA from 1 species
GAUGAACGCUGGCGGCGUGCUUAACACAUGCAAGUCGAACGAAGCACUUUAUUUGAUUUCCUUCGGGACUGAUUAUUUUGUGACUGAGUGGCGGACGGGUGAGUAACGCGUGGGUAACCUGCCUUGUACAGGGGGAUAACAGUUGGAAACGGCUGCUAAUACCGCAUAAGCGCACGGCAUCGCAUGAUGCAGUGUGAAAAGGAGUAAUCCGCUUUGAGAUGGCCUCGCGUCCGAUUAGCUAGUUGGUGAGGUAAUGGCCCACCAAGGCGACGAUCGGUAGCCGGACUGAGAGGUUGAACGGCCACAUUGGGACUGAGACACGGCCCAGACUCCUACGGGAGCAGCAGUGGGGAAUAUUGCACAAUGGGGGGAACCCUGAUGCAGCGACGCCGCGUGGAGGAAGAAGGUCUUCGGAUUGUAAACUCCUGUUGUUGAGGAAGAUAAUGACGGUACUCAACAAGGAAGUGACGGCUAAACUACGUGCCAGCAGCC